ensembl:lncRNA
AGACAGUGUAGUCACCUACAACCCACAGAAUAGUCACCUACAACCCACAGACACAGUGUAAUCACCUACAACCCACAGACACCACAGCCCAGAGUGCUUAACCCUAACAGUAAUUUAAUACCAAAAGCACAUUUUUUUUCACUUGGGAAAUACUGCACCAAAACAUCUUAGAUGUAAAAUUGUGCGACCUAAAAUCUCCUCGGCAAAACAUCAACUCAAGAAAUCUGUCAUUUUUUAAAAGUUUUAAUCUUAGAUUAAUUCAGACUAUUUUGAGGCAGUGUAUGUAUACUGGCUACGGCGUCUCAAGGUGGACAAACAAUACUAUUGCCGUCUUUUCUCAUUUUUCAAGCGAAGGUCUUUUAUGGUAUUAUGGCACACUAGGUUCGCCUAGCCGAGUCCGAAACAUGUGGAAAGCCUUCAGGACAAGACUCAUUACAAUAAACAGCAACCUGUGAAAAUAUAGCUCUUAUUCUUUGAUUAUUUGUUGUUCUUAUCUCUUUUUUUGGGGGGGGGGGGAUUUUCUUAAAAUCUUAAAACUACAUUAUUGGUUAAGGGGCUUGUAAAUACACCUGUUGUAUUCGGCGCAUGUGACAAAUAACAUUUUGAUUUGAUUUGGAAGGUGAUUGGUUCAAGAUGAUUUGUUUGUGGCCAUGUAGGGUUAUUACGCUAGCUGCUUGUGAUUAACCAGAUGACAUAAAACGAGAUAAGUAAAUUGUUUGUUGUCAAAGCUACAGCUGGGUGUGGAACUAGUCUGUUGUUGUUGAUUUUUCUAGUGGAUCCACUCCUUUAUACCAGUUGGUUCUAGACAGGUGUAACCUGAUUUCAGGUGAUUACCUGUUACGGUCUCCCUGUUUCAGGUACAGUAUCCUGACGUGGCGGUGACUGGAUGAAAUGCUAUUUUGUCGCUGCUUUAGGUUUUAGCAGUGUAAUUACAUAGAUAUGGAGGUUGCCUGUAUGUUAUGACAGCAGCGUAUUCUGCCUCACGGCAAAAAGUAGACACUAUCCUGUUGGUACUUGUCUGUCAGUGUAUAUAGUAUGACCACACACAGAAAAGACGACAGUAUCUAAAAAUAAAAAUAAAACAAGUUUGUAAAAGAAGAGUAGUAGUCACGAUCUUAAUUGUAUAUAUUUUGGAAGAAAGGUAUCUUAUUAAAGUUCUAGCCAUGCUGGGAUGUAGGAUUCUAUUGCUUCUAGAACUAUUUUGAACUAUUUAACUCCCCACUAAAAAUAUCCACUGUGUAGAUUCUUAUGAACCUUGCAAGUCCCAGGAUGUGGAAGUGGUACUGGGUGUGGCUCAGGAAUGCUAACAUUACAGAACCUGACUGACAGCUAUCAGGACACUUUGCGGUUUUCCAAAAACCCUUUUCUAUCCAACCCCUGUUUUCCUCCUACAUGUGACCACAACAUCUUAAGAGUAGAUGUAUUAUUUUUUUAAAUUUAUUAAACAGACAAACUAUAAUCUUCAGAAUACUUGGUGAUCACCUGAUGUGGAUGAUGGGUGUAAAUGUGGAAUUGGUGCUCGCUGUGGCUCAAAGCUGUCAACAGAACACAAACUGACUGACAGGUUUCAGGGGGCUUGAUAGCUUAGAAUGAAUGAGUUUCAAAGCAUUUACCUGUAUUAAAUCAUUAUCUGUAAAUAUAGGUUUGGGACAUGUUCACACUGCCAAUAUAUCUGAAGGACAGUAUAAACAGUAUAUCUGAAGGACAGUAUAACAAUAUAUCUGAAGGACAGUAUAACAAUAUAUCUGAAGGACAGUAUAACAAUAUAUCUGAAGGACAGUAUAAACAAUAUAUCUGAAGGACAGUAUAAACAGUAUAUCUGAAGGACAGUAUAAACAAUAUAUCUGAAGGACAGUAUAAACAAUAUAUCUGAAGGACAGUAUAAACAAUAUAUCUGAAGGACAGUAUAAACAAUAUAUCUGAAGGACAGUAUAACAAUAUAUCUGAAGGACAGUAUAACAAUAUAUCUGAAGGACAGUAUAAACAAUAUAUCUGAAGGACAGUAUAAACAGUAUAUCUGAAGGACAGUAUAAACAAUAUAUCUGAAGGACAGUAUAAACAAUAUAUCUGAAGGACAGUAUAAACAAUAUCCAUAAUGCUGAGAAUUUGCAUGUCCUUGUGAUUAAUUUACCCCCUCAUUCUUCUCGGUGAUCACCUGAUGUUUGUCAUCCCAGACAAAGCAAGUUAAGACACAUCAGUUGACUCGGUUCAAGCCAACAGUGUUGUCAUCGUGUUCUGUGAAAGCAUGCAGUUUCCCAUCAGCGCUCAGAGUCGUGCCAAGGUUUUUUAUUCCACCUUUAUUUAACCAGGUAAGCUAGUUGGGGAACAAGGUGCCAAUGUAAAUUAAAUGCCUCACUGCAGAUCAAUAGGCCUUAUGGGAUUAAGUACAUUUACUUUUCCAAAUCCCAAUUGGAACUUGGUACAAUUGGGAUAUUGUUCCCAAUUGGAACCUAUUUGAGAGCUGUGGUAUCGACAUCAGAUAUUUUCCCAUAGACCAGCCACCCAGUGAGUUUUGUUAUGUAUCCGUACCAAAUAUAUAUUCUGUUGUCAAGACAAAGAUCCUGAGAGUAGAGGCAGUUUUGGAAACUCCUUGGUGUAUCUCUCUCAACUCAAACAUCUUACUCCUUCAAUAGCAGUAUCAGUGCUAUCAGUGUAAUCAGUAUCGGUGUAAUCAGUAUCGGUGUAAUCAGUAUUGGUGUAAUCAGUAUCGGUGUAAUCAGUAUCGGUGUAAUCAGUAUCAGUGUAAUCAGUAUCGGUGUAAUCAGUAUCGGUGUAAUCAGUAUCGGUGUAAACAGUAUCGGUGUAAUCGGUAUUAGUGUAAUCGGUAUCAGUAUCAAUGUAAUCGGUAUCGGUGUAAUCAGCAGCGGUGUAAUCAGUAUCGGUAUCAAUGUAAUCAGUAUCGGUGUAAUCAGUAUCUGUGUAAUCAGUAUCAGUAUCAAUGCAAUCAGUAUCGGUGUAAUCAGUAUCGGUAUCAAUGUAAUCAGUAUCGGUGUAAUCAGUAUCGGUGUAUCGGUUAUCGGUGUAAUCAGUAUCGGUGUAAUCAGUAUCAGUAUCAAUGUAAUCAAUAUACGUGUAAUCAGUAUCG